GGCGGUUCUUGGGUGACGCACCUGGGAAUCAGAGAGGAAGGAGCCUGAUUCCAGGGUGCAUCACCCAAGAACUGCC
rfam:Myotis lucifugus cont2.10228, whole genome shotgun sequence.